AUGGCUCAGGAUGAACGCUAGCGGGAGGCCUAACACAUUGCAAGCCGAGCGGUAUUUGUCUUUCGGGACAGAGAGAGCGGCGUACGGGUGCGGAACACGUGUGCAACCUGCCUUUAUCUGGGGGAUAGCCUUUCGAAAGGAAGAUUAAUACCCCAUAAUAUAUUGACUGGCAUCAGUUGAUAUUGAAAACUCCGGUGGAUAGAGAUGGGCACGCGCAAGAUUAGAUAGUUGGUGAGGUAACGGCUCACCAAGUCUACGAUCUUUAGGGGGCCUGAGAGGGUGAUCCCCCACACUGGUACUUGAGACACGGACCAGACUCCUACGGGAGGCAGCAGUGAGGAAUAUUGGACAAUGGGUGCAAGCCUGAUCCAGCCAUCCCGCGUGAAGGAUGACGGCCCUAUGGGUUGUAAACUUCUUUUGUAUAGGGAUAAACCUAGAUACGUGUAUCUAGCUGAAGGUACUAUACGAAUAAGCACCGGCUAACUCCGUGCCAGCAGCCGCGGUAAUACGGAGGGUGCAAGCGUUAUCCGGAUUUAUUGGGUUUAAAGGGUCCGUAGGCUGAUGUGUAAGUCAGUGGUGAAAUCUCACAGCUUAACUGUGAAACUGCCAUUGAUACUGCAUGUCUUGAGUGUUGUUGAAGUAGCUGGAAUAAGUAGUGUAGCGGUGAAAUGCAUAGAUAUUACUUAGAACACCAAUUGCGAAGGCAGGUUACUAAGCAACAACUGACGCUGAUGGACGAAAGCGUGGGGAGCGAACAGGAUUAGAUACCCUG
rnacentral:rRNA from 1 species